rnacentral:rRNA from 1 species
UGGGGAAUAUUGGGCAAUGGGCGAAAGCCUGACCCAGCGACGCCGCGUGGGUGAUGAAGGCCUUCGGGUUGUAAAACCCUUUCGUGCGGAAAGAAUAGUCCUGUAGCGAAUAACUACGGGAUUUGACGGUACCGCAGGAAGAAGCACCGGCUAACUCCGUGCCAGCAGCCGCGGUAAUACGGAGGGUGCAAGCGUUGUUCGGAAUUAUUGGGCGUAAAGGGCGCGUAGGUGGUCGUGAUAGUCAGAUGUGAAAUCCUUCGGCUCAACCGGAGGAAUGCCUCUGGAACUUCAUAGCUCGAGUACAGGAGAGGGAAACGGAAUUCCCGGUGUAGAGGUGAAAUUCGUAGAUAUCGGGAGGAACACCAGUGGCGAAGGCGGUUUCCUGGCCUGAUACUGACGCUGAGGCGCGAAAGCGUGGGGAGCAAACAG